rnacentral:rRNA from 1 species
CCUACGGGUGGCUGCAGUGGGGAAUAUUGGACAAUGGGGGGAACCCUGAUCCAGCCAUGCCGCGUGUGUGAAGAAGGCCCUCGGGUUGUAAAGCACUUUCAGUGAGGAAGAACGCCUGGUGGUUAAUACCCAUCAGGAAAGACAUCACUCACAGAAGAAGCACCGGCUAACUCCGUGCCAGCAGCCGCGGUAAUACGGAGGGUGCGAGCGUUAAUCGGAAUUACUGGGCGUAAAGCGCGCGUAGGUGGAUUGAUAAGCCGGUUGUGAAAGCCCCGGGCUCAACCUGGGAACGGCAUCCGGAACUGUCAAGCUAGAGUGCAGGAGAGGAAGGUAGAAUUCCCGGUGUAGCGGUGAAAUGCGUAGAGAUCGGGAGGAAUACCAGUGGCGAAGGCGGCCUUCUGGACUGACACUGACACUGAGGUGCGAAAGCGUGGGUAGCAAACAGGAUUAGAUACCCCAGUAGGC